rnacentral:lncRNA from 1 species
GGGGAGCCACAUUGUGACGCCCCUUCUGCCUCUCACCAGCUUCCCUCUUUCUCCCCGUUCUGUAUGGUUCCCCCUGGAGCCAGAAGGAAGCCCGGUGCCAGCCAGCCUUCAUGAAAGACCAAGCCCGCGCCAUCCGGCUUCCUCCAGUGGACGCCUGCAGGACCCAGGAACACUACAUCAACACUCUUGGCGGGGACCUGGACACAGAAGACUCCUGUUUCAAGAAAAUACAAUCAUCUCUCAAAGGCUGUAAUUUAUAUGCAUUUUAAAACUCUCUAGGCAUUGAAAACUACCCAAGUGUCCCAAAUAGAAGGGUAAUAUAUAAUCAAUCACU